UACGUAGGGUGCAAGCGUUGUCCGGAAUUAUUGGGCGUAAAGAGCUCGUAGGCGGUCUGUUACGUCGGCUGUGAAAACCUGGGGCUCAACCCCGGGCCUGCAGCCGAUACGGGCAGACUAGAAUUCGGUAGGGGAGACUGGAAUUCCUGGUGUAGCGGUGAAAUGCGCAGAUAUCAGGAGGAACACCGAUGGCGAAGGCAGGUCUCUGGGCAUUAACUGACGCUGAGGAGCGAAAGCAUGGGGAGCGAACAGG
rnacentral:rRNA from 1 species